rnacentral:rRNA from 1 species
UACGUAGGAGGCGAGCGUUGUCCGGAUUUACUGGGCGUAAAGCGCGUGUAGGCGGUGACUUAAGUCUGCUGUGAAAGCUCUCGGCUUAACCGGGGGAGGUCGGUGGAAACUAGGUCACUAGAGGACGGUAGAGGGGGGUGGAAUUCCCGGUGUAGUGGUGAAAUUCGUAGAUAUCGGGAGGAACACCAGUGGCGAAGGCGGCGACCUGGGCCAAUACUGACGCUGAGGUGCGAAAGCGUGGGGAGCAAACAGG